CCCAGGGCUAUUAAUGCAUUUUGGAAGCCUUCUCCACAGCUUCAGAACAAAUGCAGUGUUCUCUUAUGGGUCUGUGCCUUUCACCACAGAAAGUUUAAAAUUCCCAGCAUCCAGGAUUCCAGCAGUUCAGAACAGGCAGCAGCCAGGACACAGGAGGCAGGGAUCUCCCUGCCACCUUCUCUGCCUUUCCAGGGAAGCCCUUGGAAAGAGCCCAGCACACAGCUCCUCUUACCUGAACGCCUCUGAGUGGAGCUGUGUAACGUAGGCACUUAAAUUCAACAACUUUUGUGCUUGAUUCAUGGAAUCCAUGUCCAUCACUACCUUGAGCUUCUCUCCAGCUUUUCUGUGUGCUUCACAAGUGGAAGAACUUCCAAGCUUUUCUCAGCAGGGUUCAGCCACCAGCUUCACCUAGCUCUCAUUUGUUAAGGAUUGCCAGUUGUCUUGAAUUUUGUCACAGGAGACUCCCAGUUUUGAUAGACCUGUCAUGUGCCCUGUCAAACAAACUUACAAGAUAUUGUAAAAUGUGUAGAGGGAAGUAUCUUUCUACUGUGGUGUGGGGAUGACAGCUUUAUGAAUGAUGUCAAGGAAAAAUGUCGUUCUACAGAGCAAAUAUCUGGCAAGUUAUUAUACACUGCUCACCCACUGCCCACAUUACUCAAAUGUCUCAGGCCUUGCUCUCCCUUUCUUCCUGCUUCAAAUUCAAAUAUUUUACUUUUUCAUGGGCUGUUUAAAAAUACAAAGAAAGACCAACACAAUGAGCAACUUAAGUUUGGUAAUUGGAGAGAGAAUA